UACGCCACCGUCUUCUUCUUCCCCCGUCCCCACCGCACCCACCAUCUCCCGCCUCGCGACUGUCCUACGCGCUUCCAGAACCCAAUCCCUAGCCAACCUAACGCUAGAUCCCAGUCCCCCAGCCUACUCACGGGACAUGGGCGUGGACAAUCCGCCGCCGAUCACCGGCUCCGGCAGCGACGACGGCGCGUUCGCCUUCAUCUCCAAGGGCUGGCGCGAGGUGCGGGACUCGGCGACCGCCGACCUGCAGCUGAUGCGGACGCGGACCGACAGGGAGCUGGGGCGCCUCCUCGCGUCGGCGUCGGCUCUCGCGGGGCCCGGACCGGCGCCGCCGGUGGCCGCGGGGGCGCCCUUCGCGGAGCUGGAGUUCGUGCGGAAGCGGAUCCAACCCAAGAUUGCGGAGCUGAGGAAGCAGUACUCGUCGACAGUGCUCGACGGGUGGCCGCCAAAGUCCGGCGCCAGCCUCCGCGUCGACCUCUCUGGGAUUACGGCUAUCCGCAACGCCAUUGUGUCCAGCGGGAAGGCUGAUGGCGGUGACGAGGGGAACAAGGAGUGGGAGGUGGUGAAGAUGAUACGGAACGGGCUCAAGGAGUUCGAGCGCCGGAGCCUGUCAAGUGAGAUGUCUGCUGGGUUUCGUGUCCGCACCGACUUUGUGGAGAAAUUUAAACUGAGCUUGAAAUCUAUGAACAAAGAGUCUCAGGAACCGAAGCAGGAUGCCCCGCCACUGGAUCUAACUGAAAUACUGGCAUAUCUAGUCAGGCAGUCUGGACCAUUCUUGGAUCAACUUGGUGUACAAAGAGAUCUUUGUGAAAAACUAGUGGACACAUUGUACAGUAAACGGAAUGGCCGGCUCAUGCAUCCGCCUUUUUCAGGAGAUAGAUCCUUAAUUCGUAAUGAGGACAUAACUGAUGAGCUUGAUCUAAGAAUAGCUAGGGUGCUAGAAAGUACUGGCUAUCACAGAGAAGGUUUUUGGAACGAUCCUGCAAAGUACAAGAUCUCAGACAACAGACGACAUGUUGCAAUUGUCACCACAGCAAGUCUUCCAUGGAUGACUGGGACAGCUAUCAAUCCACUGUUCCGUGCUGCAUAUCUGGCAAGAAGUACAAUGCAAAAAGUGACACUAGUGGUUCCUUGGCUCUGUAAGUCAGACCAGCAACUAGUCUACCCGGAUAACAUCACCUUUAGUUCACCAGAAGAGCAAGAAACUUAUAUUAGGAACUGGCUACAGGAAAGACUUGGCUUUGCAGCAAAUUUUAAGAUAUCCUUCUAUCCUGGCAAGUUCUCAAAAGAGCGACGAAGCAUUAUUCCUGCAGGGGAUACCUCAGAAUUCAUUUCGUCAAGAGAAGCUGAUAUAGCAAUUUUGGAAGAACCAGAGCAUCUCAAUUGGUAUCAUCAUGGGAAACGUUGGACAGACAAGUUCAAUCAUGUCAUUGGCGUAGUUCAUACAAAUUAUCUAGAGUAUAUCAAAAGGGAGAAAAAUGGUGCUCUUCAAGCUUUCCUUGUUAAACAUAUCAACAAUUGGGUGACUAGGGCAUACUGCCACAAGGUUUUACGUCUUUCUGCAGCAACUCAAGAUCUACCCAGGUCCAUCAUUUGCAACGUUCAUGGUGUAAAUCCAAAGUUCCUCAAUAUUGGCGAAAAAGUAAUAGCGGACAGGGAGCGUGGACAUAACUCUUUUUCCAAGGGAGCGUAUUUUCUUGGGAAGAUGGUUUGGGCUAAAGGCUAUAAAGAACUGAUUGAUUUGUUAUACAAACACAAAAAUGACUUGGAGGGCUUCAAGUUAGAUGUUUAUGGAAAUGGCGAGGAUUCACAGGCUGUCCAGGCUGCUGCUAGGAAAUUGGAUUUGGGCAUCAAUUUCUACAAGGGGAAGGACCAUGCCGAUGAUUCACUCCAUGGGUACAAGGUUUUCAUCAAUCCCAGUGUUAGUGAUGUACUGUGCACAGCAACUGCUGAGGCUCUUGCAAUGGGGAAAUUUGUUAUCUGUCCCGAUCAUCCAUCAAAUGAAUUUUUCAAGUCAUUUCCCAACUGCUUGAUGUAUAAAACUCCAGAGGAAUUUGUUGCCCGAGUGAAGGAGGCCAUGUCUAGUGAACCUCAACCUUUGACCCCUGAGAAAAGAUACAGUUUGUCAUGGGAAGCAGCAACCGAGAGAUUUAUGGAGUACUCGGAGCUUGACAAAGUUCUGAAAGAUAGAAAUGGUCAGUGUGGAGAAGGUGUAAAGAGAAAAGGAGUGAGGAAGCUACGUUUACUCCCCAAAUUCUCAGACAUCUUGGAUGGGGGACUGGCAUUUGCUCAUUACUGCGCAACCGGCAAUGAGAUCCUCAGAAUGGCAACAGGAGCAACUCCUGGUACACGGGACUAUGAUAAGCAGCAGUGCAUGGAUUUGAAUCUCUUGCCUCCUCAAAUUCAACACCCUGUAUAUGGCUUGUGAUGUGAAUCUGGUUUUACUAAACUAAUGUAUAGUUGAAGGACUUUUCUCCCUAGGGUUCUUGAAGUGGCCAAGCCGUGCUAGAUUAUCAGCGGUUUCUGCAAUUUUCACUAUUGUCGUAACCAAGUCUGACAGAAGUGUCGCAGUAACAGCCACAUGCAUCACUUGCAACAGGGCUGCUUCCUCUGAUAAUUCAUUUCUGAGGUCUUUUGCAGCUUUGAUGGCUGCGGACAUGGUGAUGUUGGCUGGAGAUGGUAUGAUCAUUGUCCGAAUGGCUGUUGAUAGCUCCUUGAGCGCCUUAGCAGAGUGUGAGCUCAUUUCCCCGCAUGCUGUUCGGACCUUC